rnacentral:lncRNA from 1 species
UUCAGUAUGAAGUGCAGAGCUGCGUUUGGAGAGAGCCAUAGGACGCGCUACCAACAUCAGGCUAAUGGAACGUGAAGUAUGGACUUUUUGACCGAAAAUACAUCUGUUGUGGACCUGGGAUGCUUUCUGAUGAAGACAACUAAAGCAUCAGUAGAACACGCCUGAGUCUCCUCCACCAGUCAUACAAGGAGAAUGUUCUAAUGCCUCCCAUUAAAGAGUGCUUGCAUGGGCCAGCUCAGGUUACACUUGAAGCGUGAGGACUUGCAGCGAGUGGUGAACUUCAUCAACAACUACGCAGAGGAUAAUGCAAUAGUAUUACCUGGACGCCACCCAGGACACAAACACUUCGGUGGAAAGCUUCUGCCAUCCCAUGUGGCAAAAGCAGCAGUGUGGUGUCUCUACAAGGAAUCGAUGACAACACUUGCAAACAGUCUGGACCUUCAUUUCCUGAUCACAGGCCACACCAAGUUUUCCCACGACUGGUGCUUCGGCCUCAUCAAGCAACGCUUCAGAAAGACCAGAGUGAAGACUUUGUCAGAGAUUGCUGGUGUUUUGAAGGACAGCACUGUGACAGGGGUCAACAUCCCAAAGCUGGUUGGACUGGAGGAUGAUACAGUGUUGGUGGAAGGCUAUGGCUGGCAACAACAGCUGACUCCGUACUUCAGGCCGCUGCCACAGAUCAAGCAGUACCAGCACUUCAGCUUCAAUGCUCUGGAGCCUGUUGUUGUUGUCGCCAAAGAGCGUUCGGACUGUCAGGAACAGGUUUCAGCUGUUGCGCAACGGUGACAUCCUUCCUCCCAUAGAUGGUCUGCCGGAACAAGCACCACCUGGACUGGACACAGCUAUGCAAACUUAUCUUUUUGAGAAUAUCAGGGAGCUUUGUGACAAAGAGGCUAUGGGCAUCACAUGCCCUGCACCAAAGUCAAGGACAGGACAGAAACAGGCUCUCCGAAUAUACAUUCCCUUGUUCAUGCGGGGAUUGGACGGACCAGUCAUCAGCACUAUCUGCAGUGCCUCAUUUCAAAUGACUCUCUCCUAACACACACGCCAUAAGUUCCUGGUGCUAUUUUUUUUUAUCCUGCUGCUCAGCCACUUUUCCCUUGAUUGUAUGCAUAUAACUACGUCGUCUAGCACUGAUAUCAUUAUUGAUAUUGUUCUUGUACAUACUGUAUAUUAUUUUAUUUAUAUUGACAUUAUUUCUGAUAUUGUUACUAUGCAAGUAACCAUUUGGCUGUACUGUUUACACCUUCUGUAGAGACCAUCCACUUAGCAAGACUUAGCAAAAUAUUGAUAUGUAAAAUGAAUAUUGAUAUGUGUGGUCAUAACAUGUUUUUGUGACAUACCACAACAAUAUAAUGUGACCGUAUCGAGUGUCCACCACAUAAAUAUAUGGUGCAUGCAUCUGUUUAUGUACUGUUCAUGUGCACCUCACUCAGGUUUCAAUUCAGGUUGCAUGGCCUUAACUUAUGUAUGGAAUACUAUGUGAUAAGUGUGUGUGUAACGGUAUAUGAAGUAUGCUAAUGUCCUGGUGUGAAGUCAUUUGGGCAGUGGUGUAAAGUACUUCAGUAAAAAUACAAAUGUUUUUUGGGGGUGGGGGGUAUCUGUACAUUACUUUACUAUUUAUAUUUUUGGCAACUUUUACUUCACUACAUUCCGAAAGAAAAUAAUGUACUUUUUACUCCAUACAUUUUCCAUGACACCCAAAAAGUACUCGUUACAUUUUGACAGGAAAAUUGUCCAAUUCACACACUUAUCAAGAGAACAUCCCUGCUCAUCUCUACUGCAUCUGAUCUUGCAGACUCGCUAAACACAAAUGCUUUGUUUGUAAAUGAUGUCUGAGUGUUGGAGAGUGCCCCUUGCUAUCUUCAAUAAAACAAAUUACAAAAAUAACAAUUGUGCCAUCUGGUUUAAUAUAAGG